NNNNNNNNNNNNNNNNNNNNNAUAUAUAGGGCUUACACAGACUUCGCAGGACAGGCUUGGUUACAAUACGAUCAGGCAUUCCACAUGAGGAGUGCCAUCCAACCAAACCUGCGGUGGGAUGAACCACAGCCAGGGCUCUGGCUGCAGCAUAUGGCCCCUUCUAGGCCCAACACUGGGGACCGUUUUGAUAGUGGGCAUCUUAAUAGGAGAGCAUUUGGCCCACAAGCUACCCGCACAGGCGCGGGGCAGGUGGUUCAACCCCGCCUGCCUUGCUUUCAAUUUAACGCCAGGGGCUUCUGUAACAAGAAGCCCUGUAAGUUCAGGCACGAGUGUCUCACAUGCAGGGGGCAACAUGCAAACUCCUCCUGCUUUAGGGCGGGGGCCCAGAGACAGAACAGGAACACAGGGGGCCCCAGGAAGCCUAACAACGGCAGUGGAAGCAAUGGGAAAAGGGCCCAGCCCAAUUAAAGUGCAGGUCUUGGAGGAGUGGCUGAGGCUUUACCCUCGCCAGGAAGAUGCUAAAUAUUUAUUGGAGGGUUUUAAAUAUGGGUUUAGGAUACCGGCAAAAGGGGAACGCAAGGCUUUCAGGGCACGGAACCUCCAAUCAGUGCUAGGCAUGGAAGACAUAGUACAACAAAAAAUUGACAAGGAAGUAAAGGAGGGCAGGGUCCUCGGUCCCUUCUCAACACCGCCUCUGGAGAACCUUAGGGUUUCGCCACUAGGUAUAGUGCCCAAGAAGGCCCCAGGGGAAUUCCGGUUAAUUCACCACCUGUCCUUCCCGGAGGGGGCAUCGGUGAACGAUGCCAUUCCACAGGAGUUGUGCACAGUCAGGUACACCUCCUUCGACGAUGCAGUGAGAAUGAUCAGGAAAUGUGGCGUCGGGGCUGAACUGGCAAAAUGUGACAUCAAAUCAGCCUUCAGGCUGCUGCCAGUUCACCCUCAGGACUUCAACUUGCUAGGCUUCCAUUUUGGCGGCGCAUUUUUUGUGGACAGGGCCCUACCCAUGGGAUGCUCAGUGUCAUGUGCCGCAUUUGAGAAGUUCAGCACUUUUAUUGAGUGGAGGCUUAGGCGCAUGGUGAGAAGCAAUUCAACAACGCAUUACCUCGAUGACUUUCUUUUCUGUGGAAAGGGAGGCACAGGCAGAUGCGGUGUCAUACUCCAUACAUUCCAGGCAUUAGCCAAAGAAUUAGGGUUGCCCCUGGCGGAGGAUAAGACAGAGGGUCCAGCGACAUCUUUAACCUUCCUGGGUAUAGAGCUUGAUACGGUGCGGCAAACAUCGAGGUUACCCCGGGACAAGUUGACUGACCUGAGGGCCCGAGUUCAAGCUCUAUUGCAGAAAAGGAAAGCUACCCUUAGAGAC
rnacentral:lncRNA from 1 species